rnacentral:rRNA from 1 species
UUCUUGGUCAUUUAGAGGAAGUAAAAGUCGUAACAAGGUUUCCGUAGGUGAACCUGCGGAAGGAUCAUUAAAGAAAUUUAAUAAUUUUGAAAAUGGAUUUUUUUGUUUUGGCAAGAGCAUGAGAGCUUUUACUGGGCAAGAAGACAAGAGAUGGAGAGUCCAGCCGGGCCUGCGCUUAAGUGCGCGGUCUUGCUAGGCUUGUAAGUUUCUUUCUUGCUAUUCCAAACGGUGAGAGAUUUCUGUGCUUUUGUUAUAGGACAAUUAAAACCGUUUCAAUACAACACACUGUGGAGUUUUCAUAUCUUUGCAACUUUUUCUUUGGGCAUUCGAGCAAUCGGGGCCCAGAGGUAACAAACACAAACAAUUUUAUCUAUUCAUUAAAUUUUUGUCAAAAACAAGAAUUUUCGUAACUGGAAAUUUUAAAAUAUUAAAAACUUUCAACAACGGAUCUCUUGGUUCUCGCAUCGAUGAAGAACGCAGCGAAAUGCGAUACGUAAUGUGAAUUGCAGAAUUCCGUGAAUCAUCGAAUCUUUGAACGCACAUUGCGCCCCUUGGUACUCCAGGGGGCAUGCCUGUUUGAGCGUCAUUUCCUUCUCAAACAUUCUGUUUGGUAGUGAGUGAUACUCUUUGGAGUUAACUUGAAAUUGCUGGCCUUUUCAUUGGAUGUUUUUUUUCCAAAGAGAGGUUUCUCUGCGUGCUUGAGGUAUAAUGCAAGUACGGUCGUUUUAGGUUUUACCAACUGCGGCUAAUCUUUUUUUAUACUGAGCGUAUUGGAACGUUAUCGAUAAGAAGAGAGCGUCUAGGCGAACAAUGUUCUUAAAGUUUGACCUCAAAUCAGGUAGGAGUACCCGCUGAACUUAAGCAUAUCAAUAAGCGGAGGAA